UUUAAAAGCACUGCUUUAGGGAAACACAAAAAUAUUAAGAAUAUUAAAAUACUGAGGUAAUGAUAGUAGAAGAAAAUUAAAUAACUAAUGUGGAGCCAUAAGAAUAAUAAUCAAGAAAACCUUCUCUGGCACCAAUUAGUUGGUGAAAUAAUUAUAUUAUCUCUCUGGAGAAUAAGAAAUAUUUGAUGUUAAAGAAUCUAUCUGAGCUAUUUUGAAUUUAGAAAUAAAUAUUAAUACUUUUAACAUUAUUUUUCUCCAUUAUAAAUGAAGAGAGUACAGCUAUAGUCACAUACAUUUCUCCAUGCUUCAGGAUUUGUUUUUUCUGUAAUUGUUUUUUUCUUUUGUAACUGCUUGGUUAAAACUUUGGGCAUUUUCUUUUUCUUUUUUUUUUUUAUUAGUUGUUCAAAACAUUACAAAGCUCUUGGCAUAUCAUGUUUCAUACAUGUGAUUCAAGCAGAUUAUGAAAUGCCAUUUUUACCCCGUAUACAGAUUGCAGAUUCACAUCGGUUACACAUCCACUUUUUUACAUACAGCCAUACUAGUGUCUGUUGUAUGCUGCUACCUUUCCUAUCCUCUACUAUCCCCCCUCACCUCCCUUCCCCUCCACUCCCAUCUUCUCUCUCUACCCCAUCUACUGUAAUUCAUUUCUCUCUCUUGUUUUUUCCCCUUUACCCUCACUUCCUCUUAUAUGUAAUUUUGUAUAACAAUGAGCGUCUCCUUACUUUACCAUGCAAUUUCCCUUCUCUCUCUCUUUCCCUCCCCCUCUUGUCCCUGUUUAAUGGUG
rnacentral:lncRNA from 1 species